ACCUGGCUGUCUCCACCAUGGCCCUGUCACCGCCGGGUUCCUAGGCCGGGGGGGGGGGGCCACAAUGGGGCACACAAGGCCUGCCUGCAGAACUCUGGGGGUCUCAGGAUAGGGAAGUCAUACACAAGUCCAGUCUUACCUGUCUCUGAGGGCCUGUGGGGUCCGACUCUCUCCGUCGAGGGCGGGGUCCCGAGUGCAGGGGCAAAGGCCGCAGCUCCUCAGGCUCCUCGUCCGUGGUGCCCGACGUGCUGGGCUCGGCCCCGGGAGGGAAGUCCUUCAGCUCCGUCUCCUUGUCAAUAAUGACCCACUCCUUGCUGUCAAAGUCUUCCUCCUCGGCCAGCGGCACCGAGCGGAAGGCGUUGCUCAGGGCCUCCUGCUCCACAGAGGCUGACACGUCCAUCCGGCCGCUAGCUUGCCGGUCAGCAUGGCCUGUGUCCACGGACAGCAUCUGAGCUGGCUGUGAGGAGCAGGCCUGUCGUGAGGGUGAGCCAGGCAAAUCCAUCCGCGACCUGCAAGAGCCACCCGAAUGGAGCUCAGUGCUGGGGACAUCAAGCCAGGGGCAGGGGCAAAUGCACCAGCUGGCUCUUGAGUUUACAGAUGGCUUCCAGCUCUACCACUGCACCCUCCGGUCCUGCCCAGCUGGUGCUUUUAACCCCAGUUCGUUCUGAGGGACAUGAAGGACAGAAGGUGACGAAAUGGAAGAACGCUCUCUACCAAGGGACUCCAUGCUGCCAUGGGUGGAGAAGAGGUGUCUGGCGCCCGGCAGGACAGCCCAGACCAGCCACGCUGAUGAAGGCGUUCGGGACCAGAGGGCCCUCGUCACCCCGAACCCCGUCUACAGACUCACCUCCUCUCAUGCAGCUCUACCCGCCCAUCAGCUGCUGUAGACAGCCUCUCCGACUCCGGGCUGUUGACCCUUCGGUAGCGUAGAGACCGUACUGGAGUUGUUGGGGAGUCUGGGGGGGCACGCACUGGGGAGCUGGG